rnacentral:lncRNA from 1 species
GGAGUUCACAAGAGAGGCCAGAGCUGAAGAUUGGGAGCAUCAAUGUAGUUCUUGACGCUGCGGCUAUACUUGUGAUCACUUGGGCAGUGUAGAUAGAGAGAGAGACACUGAAAAAGAUCAAGGACACAUUCUUCUAAGGAGCUGGGGAAGCUGCAAAGUCUUGGCAAGAGACUCAGGAGUAACUGAGGGAAGAGGGAAGGACUGGGAGAAUAUGAAGCCAGAAAACAACCAGAAGUAGGAAGCAGAAGACACAGGGAGGCAGAGACAGCACGGGGCAGCCAAGCUGAGCUCUUGCUGACUCUCAGCAGCAAUGCUAUUUUGGGGAGUGCAUCGGUAGGGGGUGUGCCGGAGACAGAAGCUAGUGCCUUCCUCUAAGCAAGGACUAUACCACCGAACAUCACAGUGAGCCACACUGACCCCCCUUCAAUGGUUUUCUGAGACAAUCUUGCCUUGUGACAUGGCAACAUGACUACGUGCUUGUAUCUGUCAUCUGGAAAGAACCGAGCUGCUGCCCUGCAUACCAUGACCGAGGCAUCCGGAACCUCAUAGCAACCCUUCUCCUCACUGUGUAUUUUGAGAAUCCAAAUAACACGAACUCCAGUGCUGUCUUUCGUGAUUUAAAACACAAAGGACAACUCAUGAACGUGACUCAGGCUUUAUAAACGAAAAAAGAAAUCAUAGAUGCCUAGCUAACGGCCGUGGUAACCUCUCUGGGCUUCUGUUUUAGAAGUAAAGCCAAUCUAUGAUGAAGUUUCAUAAGUCAAGUGCUUACUAUAAAGCUGAACAUAGCUUUUCAAUGAGUGUUUGCCAUUUAAAAUUCUGCUAGAGGGCUGGAGAGAUAGCUAAUCAAGUCAAGAGCACUGGCUGAUCUUUCACAGGACCCAAGUUCGAUUCCCAGGACCCAAGUUUGAUUCCCAGAACCUGUUGGCAGUUUACAAUCACCAAUAACUCCAGUCCCAGGGGAUUCAACACUCUCUUCUGGCCUCUGCAGGCACCAGGAAUUAAUGCAGUAUACAGACAUGCAUGCGGACAGACAUCCAUAUACAUAAAAUAAACAAAUUUUAAAAAAUUCCCUGAGAAAAUAUGUGUAAGAAGUUUAUUUUCCU